rnacentral:misc_RNA from 1 species
UUGACUUUAGUACAGCUGCUCAGAGAGGCCAUGCAAAACGCCUUGGUUUGGGUACCUCCGGCGGGCGCCCCGGGAGGGGCUCGCGCGGCCGUGGGGCCGGCCCGCCGAAGCAACGGCUGGUAAGUUCACAGUGGUGUGGGAGUUUUGCAACUCUGUAAUGAUCCCUCCGCUGGUUCACCAACGGAGA